rnacentral:rRNA from 1 species
AUUUCCCCAGUAACGGCGAGUGAAGAGGAAAGAGCUCAAAGUUGGAACCUGCUUGGCUUAGCCAAGCCGGAUUGUAAACUGUAGAAGUGUUUUCCUGACACGCCAGGCAAAAAAGUCCUUUGGAACAGGGCAUCAUAGAGGGUGAGAAUCCCGUCUUUGGCCUGAGCAGUUGUCUUUUGCGAUACACUUUCAAAGAGUCAGGUUGUUUGGGAAUGCAGCCUAAAUUGGGUGGUAAAUCUCACCUAAAGCUAAAUAUUGGCGAGAGACCGAUAGCGAACAAGUACCGUGAGGGAAAGAUGAAAAGAACUUUGAAAAGAGAGUUAAACAGUAUGUGAAAUUGUUAAAAGGGAACCGUUUGGAGCCAGACUGGCUUGGCUGUAAUCAAUCUGGGCUUUUGCCCGGAUGCACUUGCGGCCUAUGCCUGCCAACGACAGUUUUAUUUGGGGGAAAAAACCAGGCGGAAUGUGGCCCCUUAGGGGGUGUUAUAGCCUCUUGGAAAAUACCCUGGAUUGGACUGAGGAUCGCAGCGAAUGCCAUUAGGCGAGAUUGCGGCGUGCUUUCGCUGAUAAAUGCUAGAAUUUCUGCUUCGGGUGGUGCUAGUGUUUAAAGGUGGAACCCGCGCUGUAUAUUUUUUAUUCGCUUAGGUUGUUGGCUUAAUGACUCUAAAUGACCCGUCUUGAAACACG